UGCCUUCAAACAUAUCACAAAAGUGACUGGUCCCCGGUAUAUACCUUUUGAAUUAUGUGGCCAACCAAAUGCCACUUGAAUCAUCAAUACACGACAAAGUUUUGUGUAUAGAGGCAACUUGAAAGUUAAACUAUGAGGCUCUCCGCAAAUUUAGAAGAUUAGGGUGUGGUUCUUGUGACUUGCGAGUCUGUGUGUGACUUGAAUGGCCCUUAAGUCGACCUACCAGGUCUCAACUCUUGUGCAAUU